rnacentral:sRNA from 1 species
AAUUUUAAUUAAUAAAAAAACCGGACAAAUCCAAAAAGAUUUGGGUUAUACAAAUAAUUUUGGCCGCGAAAAACCGCAAGAAAAUAAAACCGCCGUUAAAUAUUAAUAAAAUAAAAGAAUUAUAAUAAUUUUAUGUGGGAAUUGUUGGAAUUUAUUAUUUCAAACGCGUUUGAAAUUUGUUAAACAAAACGCCCGUCUUAAUAAUAAACCAAUUUCCAAAUAUUGACGAUUAGUUACGGUUAUUAUUCCAAAGAAUCUUUAUAAUUAUAAAUAAGGAAAGGGGGGUUUUUCCGCGUACCGACGGCGGCGUAACGCAAAGUUAUUCCGCGUUUUAUAUUUAUAUAUUCUAAUAACGGGAUUAAUAAAUAAAAUAAUUACGCGCGACCAAAUAUAAUAAAUAUAUUAGGGUUCUGGGGCCGGUUGAAUUUUACGAAAACAAAAGAUUUUAAUUAAACAAAAUUGCUAUAUAAAUAAACUAACCCCCGCGUACCGGCGGGGAUAAUAUAUAAAAAUAAACCAAUAAAAUAAAAAUAAACGACGGGGUAAUUAUAAACGGCGAUAAAUAUUUAUUAUUUAUAUUAUUUAUAUUAUUACGGGUCCAAUUUAUAAGAUUGUAAAUAUUUACAACCGUCUUUAUAUUAAAUAAAAUAUUGGGGUGCGGCGGUAAAAUAUAAAAACGCGGCGGCGAAAUAUUGGGGCGCGACGGCGUAAUAUUAAAUAACGCCGUAUUAGGUGGGGGGGGGGGGGAGUAAUAUAUUAAACGGUAACGACGGAUUGCGUAACGAAAGUUUAUUAGGAACGGAGGCGCGUAUUUUGGCGAAAGUAAUAAAAAUGGAGGAAGACGGGGUUUCCGGGCAGGUUUUUGGGUAAUAGGAAAAGAAAACGCAAAAGAAUUAUAAGGUAAUUAGUUAAAACGUUUAUAAAAACCAGGCCCGUUACGGGAAAUGAAAGUACAAAUACUGCUAAAAAUGACGUAUUUGAACCUAAUAAAAUAAUAAAAGGAAACGUUGUAAACACCCAAACGUUAAUUGAAAAAACGUAAAUAAAUAAUAUAUUAAACGGGGUUCGGAAAAUAUAUAGGCGGAAAUAGCGAAAAUAAGGAAAAGCAGUAUUAAUUUUGUAUUGGAUAAUAGCGGAUUCGCGUUAAAUUUCCAACAAUUAUUAAUAACGUUUGUUAUUACGUUUUUAAUAAGAUCAAUUGAUAUUUAUCCGGGUUACGGGCCGGAAAGGAUUAGGUAUUUAUAUUUGUAUAUUUGAAAUUUUGGGCGAAUUUGAAAAAGAAUUACUGGGCGGUUUUAUUACCGCCGUUAUAAUACACCAAAAAUAAAACGUUAAAACCACCAAAACCCAAAAUCGCACCAAAAACCUCCUCGUCCCGGAACUAAUUAUAUAUAUAUAUAAUAUAAAUAGAUUUGAAUUCGAACGUUAUUUUGCAAUUAUACCCCGAUUUAAUAAUUUUAUUAUUAACGUUACAUAUCGCCAAUAUUUUGGAAAUAAUUAUAUAACGUCCGCCAAUUAUAAUAUGGUAUAAGUUAUUUAAUUGACGACGCAAAAGCAAAUUCCCAAUAUAUAUUUUUUCGGUAUAAUUAUAAAACUUCUUUUUAUUUUCACUGCACUAAUCGUAAACCACUCUGUUUAUAUCAGGGCGGUAAUCCAAUAUGUUAAUAAUUUCGGGAAAUUUAAUAUAAAAGAAUAGGACGGAAUACGUUAUUUAAACGCGGUAUAUUUUUCGUCGUCGGAAUUAUUUUUAAAUUUAUUUAAACCGGCGGUACGACAAAUACGUUAUAGCUACCGUUGAUAAAAAAAAGCGUCUAGGAGAACGCCGAAUUAAUUUACCGCAAAGGUUUUGGAAUUAUUACCACCAAUAAUAACGGUAUUACGAUUAAUAAGAAACCAAAUUAGCUAAUAUAAUAAUGGCGGGAAAAAGGAGCGUUUCAACCGGAUUAAACGGAUUACGGUUUAAAUUAAAUGAAAAUAUUAUAACGAAAAAAACAAAACGAAAAAUAAACAAAAUCUGGGCGCAAAGAAAUGGUUAAAAAAUAGAAACGCGGCGAAAAUAAAAGCGGAAAAAUAAUUACGCAAACGAUAAAAACAAAUUAUAAAAGAAAAAAUAAUUUUGUGGGAAAUAAGGGCGAGUACGACAGAAAUAUAAAAGAUAGGGUUUUUCUUACCGGUCCGCAAUAAAACCGCAGGCGGGAAAACGACGUAACGGGGCAAAUAAAAAUAAAAUACAAACGAAAUAAAAAUAAAAAUAAAAAUAAAAACAAGGAAAAUUAGUGGGAAAAAAUCUAAUAAUGCAACGCAUUUUCCUAACCCAGGGGAAAAAACGACGAAUGUAAUAAAAACAACAUCGCCCGGUAAUAUAUAAUAAUUAUAUCGGUUAUAACGAGUAUAAAAUACGAGAUUAUUUCCAAACCGGUAAUAUAUAAGUACAGAAGCAAAACAAAUACGCGGGUGCAAUUACGCCGCCGCGAAAUUUAUAUUAUACCCCCGGGAAAAUAACGGGGCAAUUUACGCAACCCCCCUCCGCGAACUAAACUGUAGCCAAAUUACUCCACGUUUUGGCCAAUUAGCUUUUCUUUGCAAUAUUAUAACAAUGUGCUUUCGUUUACCAAAUUUGUUUUAUAAUAAAACAGCAAGGGAGUUUUUCGGCUGUAAAAAACCAAUUUUAUUUUUUUUAUUUAAUUAGGUAAAACUUACAGAAAAGUACCAGUGUUACCGAUAAACUACUGUUAUUAUUUAUAAUUUACACCAAAUAUAAUAUAGCAAAUUUAACCAAGGAAUAAGCCGAAUAACAUUUUCCUAAUAAUAUUAUACUUUACCCUGAAAGUUCCUGUUAUUAAUCGAAUCUUACAACUAUUUAAUAGAAAUAAGGAAUAAAUAAAGUUUAAUAGGAGAAUAAUAACUAAUUAACCCAAUACCAAAUUUAAAAAUACUGAAAUUAAAAUAAAAAAACAAAAGAAUCCCAAUAUUAAAUAUUAUUAUUUACACUUUAAAAUGUAAAAACUGUAAUUAUAAUAAUACUGGUAAUAUCUUUUUACCGGGACCGCGUUUUUUUACAAAUACUCCAAAAUUAUACAAAAUCAAAAUUCUAUUAUUAAACAGUUAUAGAAUGUUAAAAACCUGGUUUGCGCAGGCGUUAAAUAUACUUCCUAGCGCGAAAAUAUAAUUUUCGAAAUAAAUAAUACCCGAUUUAAUAGAAACCGGCGAAAGAUUGAAAGAAAUAAAAUAUUAUUUUAGAAAAUAUAAUUAAUAACCUAAAAAUUAUAAUAACUGGCUAUACAAAUUAAAAGCAAAUUUUGUAAAAAUACUAGCCAAAUUACUUAUACGAAAUAAUAUUGUCAAUAAUUAUAAUCCUUACACGGGUUUACGGGUAAGCCCUAGGUGCAAUAUAAUUAAAAGCCAGUGUUAGAAACGCUGAAAUAAUAGUGGGAAUGCCUUAUAAAUUAGAUAUUUAACAAUGUUAUAUUGGUUGGGGAUAUUCUGUUUUAUUUCCUUAUAUACCCUCCGAUAUUAAAAUGGGGUUGGAAAAAGUCUCCGUACUGUAAAUAAAUUUCCGAAAAGCUAAAUUAUAUGGGGUUUUGAAAAGAAUAUUCUUACUUGCUAAUAAAUAGUUUUUUGGGUUGUAUAUAAAAAUAAAAGCUGCGACCCGGUAUAGGGUAAUUGUUUCGCAAAUGCAAAGUGGUUAUUAAACCCGGUAUAGGAUAAUUAACUCCAUUUGCUAACUUAUUAAUCGCAAUACCCGUAAUUACAAAAUUACCAAAUAAUCUAACAAUUAUAUUUUAGCGUUAUAUAUUAUAAAUUAUACUUAACUAGAGUAAGUUUAUUAUAUGCAGAAUAGUAUUUAUAAAUACCAGGUUUUCCACUAUUUAAUUGGAAAUAGAAUCGGAAAGGAAGAUUAUAUAAAAUAAAUUAUUCCCAGUAGAAGAAAAACUUCCUUAUAUAUUCCAACCCAAUCUGAGCCGCCGAUUAAACCCCCUGGAUAAUUAAACCUUUUAUAUUAGAUUUUUCAAUUGAAUUAAGCCCAGACUUGAAUUUUAUGCUCGAAAAUUGUAACAACUGUUAAGUUCAAGCCCACAAUAUACAAAUUAUAGCCCACUUGAUUAGUUAUUAAACCAAAUAAUUAAUUUGGUUAUACAGUAUUACAAAUUCUAAAGAAAAUGUAAUUUAUAUGGUAUUUCAAAGUGGUAAAUCGCCCAAAACGAGUAUUGUUUAAAUUUGGAUUAAGUUUUGAAUAUCGCGUCGGUAUUAAUUAUUUAUUAAUUAAUUAUAUAAAUUAGGUUUAAACAAGACGUUUGUUACUGGGUUACCAAAGUCCAAAAAUUCCAAGUAAAAACAAAUAAUAGUAGAGAAUUAACAAAUUAACUGGAUAUUCUAAUAUUUAAUAAAUAAAGUUUAAUUAUUAAAAUUUCAACCUUAUAAAUUUCAGGAAAACUUGGUAAAUUGGAAGCGUUGGGGGUUUUGUAAGACUAUUAAGGGGUUAUUUGUUCAAAUUCCAAAUAUUUUAAAUCUUUAUAAUUUGCUUAUAACUAAUUCCCGUAUAUUACAAAAUUUUAAAAGCAUAUAUUUAAUAUAUUAAUAGUGCGUAAAACUAUAUAUAUUAAUUAUAAACCCUAUAUUAUUUUUAAAUAUUGUAACAAAACCUUUUAUAAAUAGUCCAGGUUUUAUAAAUAGGUUUUUAAACCAUUAUAUUUUACGCAGGGUUUCCGUUAAACUAUUGUUUUCGGUCUUUGUAAUAUUAAAAUUACAAUAUUAAUUAUUUUGAGUUUUUACGUUAUAAAACGCCCAAAUAAAAUAUACAAAUUUUAGCAAAUAAAUAUUAAAUUUUCCCUAAUUUUAGCAAAAUUGCUGUUAUUAAAACCAAAUAAUUGUGGAUUUUUAUAACUACCAAUUAACCAAUAAGGUGGUUAUCUGGCUUUGAUUACCUUAUUUCCGUAACAAAUUGCUUAAAGUUAAAUACUUGUUUAACAAAUAUAUAGGUUUUUCAUCACAAUUAAAUAAAUUAUAUUAAUUUAUAUUAAUAAUCAAAAUAAUUAUCAAAGCGUUAAAUUAAUCCCGUCGUGUUAGUAAUAAUAAAUAUAUUAAAAAGCUGAUAAUAUGUUAUAAUAAUAUAAUUUCCACUGUAUUUAUAUAUUUACCGCCGUUAAACUUUAAUAUAUUUAGCUAUAAGAAAUUUACAAAUUAAUUAAUUUAAACGUUACUAAUAUAUUCUGUAUAUUUUUAUUUUAACGGAAGUGAAAUAUAUGUUAAAAUUUAUUUAUUAUAAUUUAAACGUUGAGAUAGUAAAUUGCAGGGCCCACAUUUUUAAAUGCGUAUAUUUUGUGGGAAGGGGUUUUUAAAUUGUAAAUAUAUUGCAAUCUGAGACCGAUCAGCAGCUAACUUAUAGUAAAAAUAAUAAUAGAAUAUUUGGAUUUAAUAUUAUAAAAAACGGCGGUAUUAGAAAUUAAUAGUUUAAAGGUUUUGUAAAAAAUAGGUUCUUUAAUUUUAUUUACUAUUUUUCAAGCAAUAUUUGAAACCGUAUAAUAUUCCUUCCGAUUAUAUAAUUGAACUUUUUUGCAAAUAAAUAUAUAUGUCGGUAAAAUUAUCUUGGUUUAUUUUUUAACUUUGUAUAUUAACUGUGAUUAAUAUUAUACGUUACGUAAACGGUAUAUUAAUAUUAGCAAAAGUUCUAAUAUAAUAUUGGGUUUUAACCUAUUAAAACCGCUCGCUGGCAAGCCUAAUUUUAUAUUUUAUAUAUCAACUCCAUUUACUCUUUUUAAAUUCAAACAACAAGCCGGUAAAUAUUGAUUUGCAGUCUGUAAACAUUUUAUUUUAAAAAUAAAAUUGAAAGUUUUUGCAAUAACAAUUUAUUUUAUUUUAAACGUUAGAAUUAAUACUUAUUUGUUAUUUUGGCAAUUGCUUAAACUUGUGGAAUAUAAUUUGGUUAGCCGUUUUUAAUGGGUUCUUUUAAUAUAUAAACAAAAAUGAUAAACGUAAUUAACUUCUAUUAGAUUUGGGUUUUGCAGCUGCAAAUUUAAUUCCAUAUUCUGUAUUUUUAAUACCGAAAAUACCCAGAGUUUCAUUUUUUAAAAUAAUAACUAAAAUAUAAUUACUAUUACAAAUUUUAAAAGGCAAACGGUAAAUUAUAUAAGUUUGGAAAAUAUUAUAUUAUAAGGAAUUAAACGUUUUAUAAAAGUAAUACAGAAGAUUUAUCGGCUAUAUUCAAAGUUUUGGCGUUAUAAACUUUAUUUUCAAAUUAAAUAUUAAAAUUCCCUUUUAUAUUUAAAUUUUCUUAUAUUAAGAACUAUAAUGCUUUUCGUAAAAAAACCAUAAUUUCAACGGAUAUAUUUUUAGAAAGAUUUACGGUUAGAAUUUUAUAAUCGGUCCGUUUCACAGGGCCGUUAACCAACGUUACAAAAUUAAAUAAAUGGGUUAAAUAUUUUAUUAUUUUUAUUCUGGGAACCAAUUUGUGCGAUUUUUGGCGCUUUUCUAACGGUAUAGUAAUUUGGUAUAUAAUAUUAAUAAUCCGAAAAUUGUUCAAAUUAGGUUUAUAUAUUAAUUUAUAUUAAACUUUUCAACGAAAUUCCCUGUAACAUAUUAAUACCGUACUAAUUACCACCAUGCCGCCAAUUAAAUUAAUUACGGCCAGUAAUAAAUAAUAUUGUAAAUAUAAUAGCAAACCUGCCGUUAUUAGGUAUUAUAAUAAUUUUAAAUUUAUCGGUUAUAAUUUUAACAGACCAUUUUCUUUAUUAAUUUUGGCCGUGGUUAUAAAAAUUAGAAACGUUAGAAACUAAUAUUUUUAUUUGCAAAUCAAUUCCAAACUUUGAAAUUAAUUUCGUACCCCCUAUAAUAAUAGAAAUUUAAUAGGGUAACGCGCGUAUAUAGUUUUUAAAGUUUUAAAUAGAAUUUAAUAAUUAUUAUAACCGUAGGUUUGUAUUUAUUUUAUAAAAAAAUCGACCAUUAAAACCGUAAUUGUUAAUCUAUAAAUACUUAAAAUAUAAGAGUUCAAUUAGAAGAAUUAGGUUUAAAUAUUAUUACAAUAUUCUUAAUAAAAUCGAAAAUAUUAAAGGGUGUAGAAAUGUUGUUUUAUUUGUACGCCUAGCAAGAGUGGUUUCAAGGCAAACAAUGCAUUUUAUAACCCUAACUUUGCUAUAAUAAGGUAAACUGCUUGUAUUUUUAACGCUUUUCUCUUAAAAUAAUAGCAACUUUAUAUAUUUUAAACGCCUAUAUUUUAAUAGGAUUUCCUAAGUUUGGAUUUCGCUGUAAACCUUUGUAAUUCUAUUCCUUGUAAUAUUUUCUUAAUUAUUAGUAAAUCAAAUAAAAUUAAAAUUAAAAUAGUCUACAGGAGCUUGCAUUAAGUCCAGUAAUUAUAAAGAUUUUGAUAAUAUAUUUUUUAUAACAGAAACCUUUUUUCCCGAAGUAACUUUUUUGAAUUUGGUUGCGCAAAAAGGUUCUUUAGCGGUUUAUUAAAUUUACGGGGUUUAAUUCUACGUAGAUUUACAGGAUUUAUUAUAUUUAAUUUCUUAUUAAAAGUAAAUCUACGAUUAUAUUUUUAUUUUAUACGAGAUUUAAUUUUUCCGUUUCCCCGUUUUUUUCCAGUUCCGUAUUAAUUGUAAUUUUAUAAUAUUUUUGGUUUUUACGGAUUAAAUUAUAUAAUCCUACCUCCGACGGGGUUGCGUGAUAUUUUAUAACCCCAUGUAAAAUUAGGUUAAAAACGGCAUUAUAUUUAUUAAAUAUAUACGCGUAACUCCAAACCGUAAUUGUAAAAUCUCAAAUAUAAAUAUCGCACAUUUUUACCACCAAAUAAAACAAACAUUUGGCGGUAUUUAAACUAUCCCACGUUGUGCAAUCCCUAUUAUAUAUGUAUUUUUUAAUAAUAUGCCCUUUAUAUUAUAGUAAAUAAACCCAUUGACAAUAUUUAGUCCAAACGAAAAAAUAUAAAAUAUGUUAUUUAACGUAAUAUUUUCAAAUUUAUCAGUUUCAAAGUUAUACCGGACCUGUAUUUAAAUUAUUCUUAAUAAUAAACCUAAUAAAACUAUUUCCGGUACCGAUUUCAACUGUUAAACUUUUGGUAUAAUUGGUAAAAGCUUAUUCUUUUGCAUAAUUUAAUACGUAUUAUUUAUAUUAUUCAAAACCGGGUAUUUUAAUUUUCUGGGUUAAAAAUCCCUAUUUACGCUGUUUCCAAAUUUCGUUUUAACCCCAAAAUUGGCUGUUAAUAUUUAUAAUUCCGGUAUUUUACCGGUAUAAUCGGGUUCCGAAUCCGAUUCCGAAUAUAAUUUUAUAGCCCCGUUAGUACCAGAAUUAACCUUUCUUUUAUAAUAUCCGGUAGGUUUAAAUACCGCCCGAACUAUUUAUUUGUUCCCGGGCGUUAAACGCUGCGGAUACGGUAAUAUUAUGUGGAAUUAACCCCGUUAAUAAUUUGAAAUUUAUUAAAAUUAUAAAGAUUUUAACGUUCGAUUUGUUAAAAUUGGGGGUUUUGGUAAUCUUUUGCAAAAGUAAAAGCCGAAUUGACUUUUUUAUUUUGUUUUCGUAUUUUGAAAAUGUUAUUUUACCCGUUACUUUCCUUUUUAACACUUGUUUCAGUAAUUGUUCUACCGUAUUUUCCACGUUUGACCUUAUAAUUAAUAAUUACAAAUAUUAUAAAAUUUAUAAUCGAGUUUUAAAGUAUAUAACUGGCCAUAAAAAAUUUCAAAUUUAACCUAUCCGAAUAAUAACUUAUAAUUUGCAAAAUCCGUUGGGUAUUAUAUUAGCGUUUGGUCCAAAUAGUGAAAACCCAUUCUAGCGCGGUAAAUGAUAAUUUCGAAUAUUAAUAAAACCAACUUUCAAAUUAAAAUAUACUAAUUUAAUUUCUAAAAAGUUAAAUCUGUUAUUAAAUUUUAACAUUACCUUAUUAAACUCCGAAAGACUUGGGCGGUUAAAUUCUAUUAUAACCUAUUUCGGUAAAUUUAAAAUAUAGCGGAAUAGUUAUUUUCUAGGGUUUUAUAUACCGGUAUAAAAUUAACAUACCAUAUAAUAGGUUUUAACGGAUUCUUAAUAAGGUUGUUUUUAUAUAUAAUAGUGAGAUUAAUUGUUAAUAAUCUUAUAAAUUAAACCAGUAUAGAAAUUAGAAAUAAAUGCCGCAGUUUUUAUACUUUUAAUUUGCAUUAAAAAUAAUAAUUUUCACUGGUCGAAAUUGCUCAGUUUUUUUAAUUUGCACCUUUUGGUGAAAGAAAUAACUCUUUCGAUAAUUUUUUACCUGUUUCCUCGACCAAAGUUAAAUUACCAAAUAGAUUAAAUAUUCUGGUAGCGUUAUCGGCGUUUGAACUUAUAAAUUGGCCUGUAAACUGUUCUAAUUAGAGGUAUUAAUACCUGUAUUAACUUUAAAAUCAAUAUCUUUACUACUUUUUAACCUUUACAAAGAUAAUAUUUAUUAGCUUACAUAUUGAAAUUAAUUUAUUUUCUGAAUUAAUUAAAGAUUAGUUGACGUAAAUAUUUUAAAACUAAUAUUAUAAUCUGGGAUCUUAUAUAAAUAGUUAUUUUCAACUAAUACAAAUUUAUAUUUGCCAAAGUAUAAAGUUUAUUAUUACUUUUUAUAGUUGAAUUAAUUGAGAAUAUAGGGUUGGAUAUUUUGAAAUCCAUAAUAAAAUAGGUACCCUGGUAUUUAUACCGGUUUAAAUACACGUAGCGAACGGAAUUUAAUUUAUUGAAUAAGUGCAGGGAAAAUCGGAAAAUACCUCGCAAAAUAAUAUAUAAUAUAACAAUUAAUCAAUUUGUAAGUUUCUAACGAGCAAAUCCAAGCGUUUAACCCUAAGUUGUCAACCUAAAGUUUAUUGAACGUAUUAAAAAUUUAAACAAAUUGCAAUAAUAAUAUACGAUAUACAAAAACCAUAACAAUGUUUUAGGAUUUAUAACUUUAGUAAAAGUUAUAAUAUUCAAAAGUUCGGCCUGAAAUAAAUAUUAAUUGAGCGACCCUUUAUUACAAGUAUAAAGAAGUAAAUACUAGCAAAAAUAUUUAUAAUUAAUAAUUUGUACAAGAACAGCAAUAUUUUGUUAAUAUAUAACAUUUAUAAAAGAAUCUAAAUGAAAAAUUCCCGCGGUCUUUAUUCUUUUUAUUCUUUAUAAUAAUAUUAAAUUCAAAUAAUAGCGCCGCGUCGGUAAAUAACUUUUUAACUCGUUACAUAUAUUCCAUUGCACGGUUUUUUAUUAGGAGGGCGUAAUUUUAUUAAGUAAUAUUAUUAAAAAUACCGUUUUAUUAAACUACCCGAAAAUAUAUAUAUAUAUGGUAAAAGUUGGCAAGUUUUUAAAAUAUUUUACAUUUUUCUAAUAAAUUAAUAUUUUCCAAUUAUUAAUAGUUGCUAAUUCUUUCAAUGUCCGGCCGGACCCCAACACUUAUUUCUAUAAUAAAAACCGAAUAUUUAAUAUUUCAUAGUAAAAACCUGUUUUUACUAGGUUGUAAUAUAAUAUAUAUUUAUUUAAUUUUUGUAAUAUUCCUUUUAUUUCUCUAAUAGAAUAAUUGCGGAAUCCGUUAUUAAAAAUACAUGUAUUAUAUACGUACUUUAUAUAUAUAAUAUCUAACAAAUUAAUUUAUAUAUAGUUUAAAUAUUUUUAUUAGGAAUUUGCCCGGGUUUUUAAUAGGCCUUACGGACUUACCAUUUAUUAAAGAAGUGAUUCUUGGUUUUGAAAAUUAAUUUAUUUCUAUAGGUUAUUUUAAUAUUAGUUUUGUUGAAAAUUAAAAUUACAUCCGCUUUAACAAUUUACUUGCAAUUUAAUAAAUUACGAAACAUCCCGUCCUAAUCUUGUCCAUUUACUAUAAAAGCAAAGAUUUGGUUUUUAAAAUUAUAUAUAAUAUUUUACGAUUCAUUCAAAAAUAAACCUGCGCCCUGGGCUUUUAGAAAAGGUCCCGGCAAACCAGCCGACAAAUUUAUAAGUUUAAUAAACCCUUUUUUAAUAUAUAAUCUACAGUUUUCCGUAAUAUUAAUAAUUGUGCCGCGUUAUAUUUUAUAAUAUAUUUUAUAAUAUGAGGUUCAUUUACCGCGUACGUACUUUCUGGUUUUAACCUUUUGAUUAAUAUUUAAAUUAUAAAGGUUUAAUUAUAUAUUUGUUCCAAACAAAUUAAUAAAUUUGUAAUAUAUUUUUAAUAUAUUUUGUUUAAAAGAAUUUGUAAAUUAAUUUAUUUCGCAAUAUAAAAUGCUUUCCACGUUUAUUAUUAUUAGUGUAUAAAAUAUAAUUUUAGCCGCAUAUUUAUUCAAUUUUUUAAAUACGGUUUAAUAAAUAUUAUUAGAUUUUGGUAUUAAUAUUCUUUAUAUAGUGAUAUAUUUCCACGUAUUAUGCAAUUAAUAGCGUAUUUAAAUUUGCGUUAACUUAAAUUUUAACAUUUGUAAUACUAAAUAUUUAAUGUAAGCAAAUAUAAGCAAUUAUUAUUUUUUAAAUGUAAUAUUUUUAAUUAAUCCCGGUAUAAUGCAAAUCCGUAUUUAUUUCUCAAACCGGUUAAGUUUUAUUUUUCUAUUCGUAAAUUAACAGGCAACGUACGGAUAUUAACGGUUCGAAUUACAAAUUAUAUACUCGGGCGUAUUUACCCACAUAAUAAACUUUAUUUGGAAUACGGUUAUAUUUUAUUUAUUAUAAUAUAAUAUUUAUAUUUCUACCAUCUAAUAUAUUAAAAUACAAUUUGCUAUUAAUUAUUAAUAUAAUAUAUAUAAUUGGUUUGCUAUUAUACGUUUUGAUAAACUUCAUUCCCGUACCUGCGGUUCCGGAUUACAUUUUAGCCCCGAAAUUAUUCUUGUUUCCAAGUUUUUUUCAAUUUGUACCGUUUAAUUAAUUAAUAUAAUAAUAAUUAAACGGAUGUUAAUUUUCUUUGGAAUAUUUGGUAAUUUUAAAAAAUAACUUUUAUUACCGUUUUAUAAAUAAAUAUUUAUAUUAUAAUUAAAAGUUUUACUUUAUCCGUCCAAAAUAUUCCUCCACUUUAAGUAAUAAUUUCCAAAAAAACACCUGUCUAUUUAAUAUAAAACCAGCAUUUUAUUUUACGUUUGCAUUUUGUAAGCGUUAUUAAAACCUAUAUAUAAAUGCAUAUUACGGAAAUAACGUGUCAAAUAAUUUGAAUUAAAAAGUCCAAUUAUUACUAAUUAAUAUUGUUAGUUUAUUAACGUCAUAUUAAAAAAUAA